AGCCCCACCUUCUUUUAUGAAGAUGCCUCGAUAAGGCAAGUAUGCCAACUCCGUGGGGAUU
rnacentral:tRNA from 1 species